GCCAUUUGAGAGUAGGCGUGAGAAGUUGCUCUGUGUGCUGAGCGUUCUAAAGGAAGGCGUCCGUUGGCCUUCGUACCCGUCUUGAGUGAGGAGACUGAACCUGUGGCACCCGCCACCAAAUCUGCCGGCCUAUUCACAGUCCCUGCCAUUUCUCUCGUUAAGAUGAACUCUCCGCCUCAGGAACGAGAUGGCGGUUCCCUGGAGGCUGAGUGCCGUUUGCGGUGCCCAAGGAGGCCGAGCUCUGUUGCUGCGAACUCCAGUGGUCAGACCUGCUCAUAUCUCAGCAUUUCUUCAGGACCGACCUAUCCCAGAAUGGUGUGGAGUGCAGCACAUACACUUGUCACCGAGCCACCAUUCUGGCUCCAAGGCUGCAUCUCUCCACUGGACUAGCGAGAGGGUUGUCAGUGUUUUGCUCCCGGGUCUGCUUCCGGCUGCUUAUUUGAAUCCUUGCUCUGCGACGGACUAUUCCCUGGCUGCAGCCCUCACUCUUCAUGGUCACUGGGGCCUUGGACAAGUUGUUACUGAUUAUGUUCAUGGGGAUGCCUCGCAGAAAGCUGCCAAGGCAGGGCUUUUGGCAUUUUCAGCUUUAACCUUUGCUGGGCUUUGCUAUUUCAACUAUCACGAUGUGGGCAUCUGCAAAGCUGUUGCCAUGCUGUGGAAGCUCUGACCUUUUUGACUUCCUACUUUGAAGAAUUGAUGUAUGCCUCUUUGCCUCUGCUUUGUCAUGCCAUUAAGCUCACAAUAAGGAAGAAAUAACAGAUAAGCCCAUUGGUGGACAGCCUUCUUCUCUUAAUCACAAGAUUAUUUUCAGAAUUUAAUCUUUGAGGAAAAGGUUUGAGAGGAAUUAUAUCUAAGUUGUGAGACUGAGUUCUGUAUUCUGGUGAGUUAAUGGGGUUGCCUCCCAGCUUCUUAUAAGACUCACAAUAUAACUAAACAUGAUAUAUCAGCUUUUGCCUUUUAAUUUCUCAAUCUCUUAAAGAGAAUCCAGCUUUAUUAUGAUUAGUACAUGAUCAAAUUUCCAUAUUUGCCUUGGGAAUAAUGGACAAAGGGAAAUACUCUUAAUUCAUGAAUAAAAACUUUGCAGAAAAUUAGACAGUGUUUAAUUUUCAAAAACUUCCCUCUCUAGUCAGUAGAUACCACCUACUGAUGGUUACAUAUACUAGGGAAAUUUUAAAAUUAGGAAAUGCUGCUAUCUCAUAUUAUAAAUUUCUAAAUCCUAGGAAGAAACGCUUGGAGUGCUUCUGAAGAUACAGAAGUUCCAUUUAAGGGCAAGUUUCCCCAGAGACAUAUCAAAAUAUUAUCCAUUGUAAACUGAGAUUUAAUUCUCAAAUGUAUUCUACUUGUUCUAAAACAAUCUGUCCACAAAUAUAAAACUAUAAGUAAUAAAUUGUUAUUUCCGCACAAUGGGAAUCUCUAAUGUGAAAAUGUAUUCUAUGAAAAUAAUUUUUUUAAAUAAAAUGUUGU
rnacentral:lncRNA from 1 species